ensembl:lncRNA
GGUGAGUGUUGCGGAUAUGAACCAGAUUAAUCUCGGUUCAGGUUUCCCAAAUGAAACCCCACAGCUUGGUCUACGUCUACAGACAUUUUACAAGCAGGAUGCUGAGGUGAUUAUGUCAGAGCCAGGAAUGUCUCUCCUUCCUGUACUUUUGUUGAGUACACUGGUGGUCUAUCCAUCAUCAGAGGUUCUACUGAUGCCGACUCUGACCGUGGAGCCUUCAGGACGACAGGUGUACACUGAGGACACAGUCACCUUGGCAUGUCAGUUACCUGGCCACUCUGGGCUGGGCUGGCAGUUCUACUGGCACAAAGACAGGCAGGACACUGGCCCUGUGGAGCAGAUGUGGGGCAGUGGUGGAGGUGGGGCGGUCUACCAAAUGUGGCGUGCCUCUGUCACACACACAGGCCAGUACUGGUGCAGAGCAGGGAGAGGACAGCCAGUCUUCUACACCCAAUACAGCCAGGCAGUCUCUGUUAAUGUCAUUGAGCUCUUCACAUCAGUGACUUUGUCAGCAUUUCCUUCGACCGUGGUCAAAGAGGGCGGGGCUUUCAACCUCACCUGUGAGGCCCAGUUUAGCAACUGCAAGCUGAGCCAACAUCAUGGUAACCACAGUCUACAUAGUCACCCUGAUCCUAACUGGACCACAGUGGUUGUAACAUUCUCCUUCCUGAGGGACGGCUGGCCAGUUGCCAGGGACUCUGUCAGUGGGAUGUACAGCGUAGCGAGGGCUUCUAGCUGUCACAUGGGGACCUACAGCUGUGUGGCCAGAGCAGGCAGGGCCAGGAGGAGCAGUCAGGAGAUCAGCAUCACACUAGACAGUGAGUUCAUACUACAUCACCUGAACGUUUAGUUUGCCAAUUGCUAUAGGCUUUCAUUCCUGGUCUGAAAUCAUCUAUUAUUAUUUUUUUACCUUUAUUUAACUAGGCAAGUCAGUUAAGAACAAAUUCUUAUUUUCAAUGACGGCCUAGGAACAGGUUAACUGCCUGUUCAGGGGCAGAACGACAGACUUGUACCUUGUCAGCUCGGGGAUUUGAACUUGCAACCUUUCGGUUACUAGUCCAACACUCUAACCACUAGGCCACCCUUAUUGUGGUGCCAAAACUGGCACUCUUUACCGUUCACUUUGUAUCCUGAUCUCUCUCAUGCUGCCUUCAUCCAGACCUGUCUCUGAUACUGGUCACCUGCUUUGGCACCUUCCUGAUCCUCUCCGUGGCUCCAUUGGCAUUUUUUGUGAGACUAUACGCGAUGAGAUGUAAGUGGCAGCAUAGUGGAUCUUAGUCUGACUCUUGAGUCUCUGGGACUGAGUCAGUUCAACACCUAUCUCUUCUCUUUGUGUGACCAUGCAGUAUGGCAGCUCAGAGGCAGAGGACAAGGAGAAUUGCAGUGCAAUUCACAUGCUGUGAGAACUCAUGUAGUUCACAUGGCUGUAUUAGUGCACAGGUGUAGGAUCUUAAUUUCAUCACCCUGUUGCAUGUUUUUUACUCAAAAGAUUAAAACAGAUGUUUUAUUGUAAUCUUGCAGAUGUAUCUGGACCCAGCUGACUUGAGAAACUUUCUAUCAUUUAUUACAAAAUUGGAGUAUAGAAUAAUAAACAUAUAAUUAUUUGAAGAAUUUUGACCAAAGAAUGUUUUUGUUUUAUUUUCACC